rnacentral:rRNA from 1 species
GUAAAGCUUGCUGUUAGUCAUAUGCUUGUCUAAGUCGAACUGCGAAUGGCUCAUUAAAUCAGUUAUAGUUUGUUUGAUGGUAUCUUCUACUCGGAUUACCGGAAUAAUUUCUAAACUAAAAACAUGCAAAAACCCCGACUUCCGGAAGGGAUGAAUGUAUUAGAUAAAAAGAUUACACACGCUCUGCCCGUUGCUAGGGGAAUUCAUGAUAACUAUUCGGAUCAACGAUCCUAGUGCCGGCCACUCAUAAUUCAAUUUUCUGCCCUUUCUGCUUUAUCUGGUAGGAUGGGGCCUAUCGUGGUGGUGAGGGGGGAACGAGAGACGGGGGAUUAUUCCGGAAAUGGAGACAGAGAAACUGAUAAACGGUUACCAGAAGGCAGGAAGGGCGCAAAUUCCCCAAUCCUGACACGGGGAGGCAGUGACAAUAAAUACAAGAAAUACGGUUGUAAUGUCCCGGCAAUUGGAUUGAGAUUGAUCUGAAUACCUUUAAAAUCAUCCAUUGAAUGGCAAUUGUGGGGCCAGCCUGGUGCCUAAUUCCACCUCCAUUCCCGUAUAUUUAAGUUGUUUCAAAUAAAAAGCUCUUAAUUGGAUCUUGGGUGGAUUUCGCCGGGUCUCCCCUGGUGCGCCCCUGCCGGGACCUGGCCUCUGGCGUCCAAUCUUUCCUGGCCUCCUCAUCCGCGAGCGUGCGGACUGCGCUGCUACGAUCAUUAAAUUUGAGUACUCUAGACUGUUCUACGCUCGCUUUACUCGACUCCGAAAACACUGACAUGGGAUUCUGAUACUAUUACUUUCGGUCUUGUGGCGCUGGAGUACUGUUGAACAAGGUCAUGAUGGGGGCAUUCCAAUUGCGUACAUUAAAUAUGAAAUUCUCGGAGGUAUAAAUACUCGCAUCUACUGCGAGACCGACUGACCGCGGAUGCUUUCGUCUAGUGCAUGAUCUGCAAUGGUUGCGGGAUCGAAGAUCGAUCGGAUCGCAGUACUAUUCCUCUACCCGUCAAUCGAUCGUCUACGUAGAUAUGGCGGAUGAUGGCAUUCAGAACGUCUUGCAUGACUGUACUGCACAAAGUCAACUUGUGUGGAAUCGGAGGUGAUUGUGGGUUCGCGAAGGCAUGUAUCGUCACAGAACCUGGAACGUAAGGGCACAUCGACGGGAUCGGGAUCCUGCGGCUAUGUUAACUUCCAGCCUGAUACUGCAGUCCGAACUUGCAGGACUGUACACGUGAGAGACCU